rnacentral:lncRNA from 1 species
UCCGUGUCGCCAGGACAGACUCCAGAGGAGUUCACCAGCCCUCGCUAAUGACAACUGGGGAAAAGUGCCCACCUUGAGUCACUACAGUCCCGAGAAGCUGAGAAGCAGCUGCCAAGGCUGGUAAUGAUCACCUGACAUUUAACUACAGGAACCUGUUUUGGAAGAAUUAUAGCCUUAAGGGCAGGUGCGCUGGUUAUACAGGAGUUCAUCCAUUUUUCCACUGUAGAUGUGAAAGCCUUUGACAUAUACAAGCCCUUUUUUCACUUUACUGUGCUGCACGCUCACAUAUUUUCAAGGCUCGACUGUCCAGUUCAUCAUCCUGGAAUGAAUGCAUGUUUACUCCAGCUGAUCCUCUGA